rnacentral:lncRNA from 1 species
UUGUUAGUUGUUGGUUCUCUCCAUUUUUAUCAUUCACCGUUUCGAGACCAAACACACGCGCGCGCCCGCUGCAUCGUUAAGAUAUUUUUUUUAAAGUGUGUAUAAAACUUUCUCGGAUUGGGUUGAAAGUUGGCAUGCGGUCUUGUUUAAGUGUAGGUAGGUCGUCUGCCAAAUUUCAUCGCAAUCGGAGUCCGUUUGAUAUCUGAACCAUUAAACCUAUAGCGGCACUAUAGCCAGUCAAAUCAUAGUAGUUUUCUAUUUUAAAACCGUGUCACGGGCUGCCAUUUUUCCUCUCUUCUCAAGCCCAUGAACAUCUAUCACAGCCACCUAGGACACUAACCCCUCA